rnacentral:rRNA from 1 species
GACGAACGCUGGCGGCGUGCUUAACACAUGCAAGUCGAACGAUGAUCAGGAGCUUGCUCCUGUGAUUAGUGGCGAACGGGUGAGUAACACGUGAGUAACCUGCCCCUGACUCUGGGAUAAGCGUUGGAAACGACGUCUAAUACUGGAUACGACUGCCGGCCGCAUGGUCUGGUGGGGGAAAGAUUUUGUGGUUGGGGAUGGACUCGCGGCCUAUCAGCGUGUUGGUGAAGUAAUGGCGCACCAAGGCGACGACGGGUAGCCGGCCUGAGAGGGUGACCGGCCACACUGGGACUGAGACACGGCCCAGACUCCUACGGGAGGCAGCAGUGGGGAAUAUUGCACAAUGGGCGAAAGCCUGAUGCAGCAACGCCGCGUGAGGGAUGACGGCCUUCGGGUUGUAAACCUCUUUUAGUAGGGAAGAAGCGAAAGUGACGGUACCUGCAGAAAAAGCACCGGCUAACUACGUGCCAGCCGCCGCUGUAA